CGGCGUAUUAGCUAGUUGGUGAGGUAACGGCUCACCAAGGCAAUGAUACGUAGCCGAACUGAGAGGUUGAUCGGCCACAUUGGGACUGAGACACGGCCCAAACUCCUACGGGAGGCAGCAGUAGGGAAUCUUCCACAAUGGACGCAAGUCUGAUGGAGCAACGCCGCGUGAGUGAAGAAGGCUUUCGGGUCGUAAAACUCUGUUGUUGGAGAAGAAUGGUCGGCAGAGUAACUGUUGUCGGCGUGACGGUAUCCAACCAGAAAGCCACGGCUAACUACGUGCCAGCAGCCGCGGUAAUACGUAGGUGGCAAGCGUUAUCCGGAUUUAUUGGGCGUAAAGCGAGCGCAGGCGGUUUUUUAAGUCUGAUGUGAAAGCCAUCGGCUUAACCGAGGAAGUGCAUCGGAAACUGGGAAACUUGAGUGCAGAAGAGGACAGUGGAACUCCAUGUGUAGCGGUGAAAUGCGUAGAUAUAUGGAAGAACACCAGUGGCGAAGGCGGCUGUCUGGUCUGUAAC
rnacentral:rRNA from 1 species